rnacentral:rRNA from 1 species
UACGUAGGGGGCAAGCGUUGUCCGGAUUUAUUGGGCGUAAAGAGCGUGUAGGCGGCCAGACAGGUCCGUUGUGAAAACUCGAGGCUCAACCUCGAGACGCCGAUGGAAACUGUCUGGCUAGAGUCCGGAAGAGGAGAGUGGAAUUCCUGGUGUAGCGGUGAAAUGCGCAGAUAUCAGGAAGAACACCCGUGGCUAAGGCGGCUCUCUAGUCCGGUACUGACGCUGAGUCGCGAAAGCGUGGGGAGCGAACAGG